AUAAAUUCGUUGCCCCUUCGAUGAAGUACUACCUAAUAGCUAUUUAUAAGAGCAAAGUCUAUAAUCCCUAGCCAUACAGAACUGCUGGGGCAAUGGGUUUAAACAACUGGGUAAUCCCAAUGCAUAUUUGAUCAAAUUUGACUUUUUUACCGUGUUACAGACAUAAGUUGCUGCUUUAAUUAUGUAAUAAGUAUAUAUUUUCUUUACUAUCAUUCCUAGAUCCAGAUAUGGCUGAAAUGCUGAGAAAACUUUUCUUGAUGCCACUUGAGAAUGAAGUAGAAGAAGAAACAGAAAGUGCAGAAAAUCUUCAAAGAAAUCAAAAUAGAGUGGAUCAGUUGGAUUAUGUUCCAGACAGCUUUGAGAGCCAAACAAUUUCACAGAUUGUUGAAAGAAAUGAAGGAACAAGUGACAACCAAGACCAUGUUCCAG